rnacentral:rRNA from 1 species
GUGACGAAGCGACGCCGCGUGUGGGAAGAAGGCCUUCGGGUUGUAAACCACUGUCGGGAGUUAGGAAAUGUAAGGGUGUUAAUAGUAUCCUUACUUGACUAAGGCUCCGGAGGAAGCCACGGCUAACUCUGUGCCAGCAGCCGCGGUAAUACAGAGGCGGCAAGCGUUGUUCGGAAUUAUUGGGCGUAAAGAGCACGUAGGCGGCCUUGUAAGUCAGUUGUGAAAGCCUUCUGCUUAACGGAAGAACAGCAGCUGAUACUGCAAGGCUAGAGUGCGGAAGGGGAGAGUGGAACUUCUGGUGGAGCGGUGAAAUGCGUAGAUAUCAGAAGGAACACCGGCGGCGAAGGCGACUCUCUGGUCCGUAACUGACGCUGAGUGUGCGAAAGCUAGGGGAGCAAACGGGAUUAGAUACCCCGGUAGUCCUAGCCGUAAACGAU